UACGAACUGCGCGAACAUUAUUCGGAAUCACUGGGCUUAAAGGGUGCGUAGGCGGCCUGUUAAGUAGGGUGUGAAAUUUGUCGGCUCAACCGGCAAACUGCAUUCUAAACUGGCAGGCUUGAGUAAGUCAGGGGUGUGUGGAACUUCCGGUGGAGCGGUGAAAUGUGUUGAUAUCGGAAGGAACGCCGGUGGCGAAAGCGACACGCUGGGGCUUUACUGACGCUGAGGCACGAAAGCUAAGGUAGCGAACAGG
rnacentral:rRNA from 1 species